rnacentral:rRNA from 1 species
GAUGAACGCUAGCGGCAGGCCUAAUACAUGCAAGUCGGACGGGAUUCAGGAGCUUGCUUCUGAUGAGAGUGGCGCACGGGUGCGUAACACGUAUGUAACCUACCUUUAUCAGGGGGAUAGCCUCUCGAAAGAGAGAUUAAGCCCGCAUAAAAUCACAGCACAGCAUUGUGUAAUGAUCAAAUAUUUAUAGGAUAAAGAUGGGCAUGUGGAACAUUAGCUAGAUGGCGGGGUAACGGCCCACCAUGGCGACGAUGUUUAGGGGAUCUGAGAGGAUGGCCCCCCACACUGGUACUGAGACACGGACCAGACUCCUACGGGAGGCAGCAGUAAGGAAUAUUGGUCAAUGGGCGGAAGCCUGAACCAGCCAUGCCGCGUGCAGGAAGACGGCCCUACGGGUUGUAAACUGCUUUUAUACGGGAAUAAACCCAGAUACGUGUAUCUGGCUGAAUGUACUGUAAGAAUAAGGAUCGGCUAACUCCGUG